AAAAUACGGAAGCCCAGGUAUUUCCCUAUCAUGAUAAAUUCAAAAAUCAAAAUAUUAAUAAAUUGCCUUAUUUUAAUCCAAGGGCAUAUUUGCAAAUAUAGCGUUAGGUUGAGGAUAAUUUUGGUACUACACAUGACAAAAUGAGAUUCCUUCGGCGGACCCUCCUUGAAAAUCUAAUUUCCAAAAGCAACUCAAAUCAAGCUUUUAAUGCUCUACUCAACGGGCUUGGGCUUGUAGUCCAGUGGUGAAUCAUUGCCCUCAAAGUUAAACAUGACUAUAAGGGUAAUGGUUUGAGUCCCUACGGACUCAACCUCUCUCAAUUAAAUAUAAUUGUGUGGAGAUUACUUACAACGUCUUUCUCUCUUGUGAAAUGCGAGUGGAGUAGAGACAUCCCUCCUCUGUAAGAGAUAUUUGGCUGGGCAUGUGCUUCAUAGACUAAAAAUAUAAUAAUGUAAGUCCCAUGUAUAUAUAUCUGAUUGUAAAUAUCAGCGUGAUGACCUGCUGUCAUAACAGUUGUAUAUAUCUCUGUGUAAUACAGUAAUCUGAUGCUUAAUCAGUUCAAAAAAAAAAUGCUCUACUCAACAGGGGUGGGGGAAUCAUAUGAAACCGAAAGUCAGUCGCCCAAAUUAAAAUAACUAAAAUACUUAUAAAUUAUUUAAGGUUGA
rnacentral:lncRNA from 1 species